rnacentral:misc_RNA from 1 species
AAGUCGUAACAAGGUAACCGUAGGUGAACCUGCGGUUGGAUCAUUAAACAAUAACUGGUUUGUAAUUGAUUUUAGUUGUAGAGUUUAAUGACUCUCCUAAUAACAAAAACAACCAAUUUCACACCUUUGUGCACCUCUAUAGAUGCUUGGUUGAAUGGUAACAUUCACUAAGUAUUCUUUUAUAACCCAAAUUUUUUAUUAGCCUGAGAUUUUACUGUAAAGUAAUUGUAAACAAUUUUUGACAACGGAUCUCUUGGCUCUC